AGGGGGGUUUAAACUCCCAAACCCCUGUGACAUACCACUUGUUGCCUCGGCGGAUCAGCCCGCUCCCGGUAAAACGGGACGGCCCGCCAGAGGACCCCUAAACUCUGUUUCUAUAUGUAACUUCUGAGUAAAACCAUAAAUAAAUCA
rnacentral:misc_RNA from 1 species